GUGGCAAGCGUUGUUCGGAAUUCCUGGGCGUAAAGGGCGCGUAGGCGGUUCGCUAAGUUGAAUGUGAAAACUCUGGGCUUAACCCAGAGCCUGCAUCCAAAACUGUCGAACUGGAGUACUGGAGGGGAAAGCGGAAUUCCUGGUGUAGCGGUGAAAUGCGUAGAUAUCAGGAGGAACACCGGUGGCGAAGGCGGCUUUCUGGACAGUAACUGACGCUGAGGCGCGAAAGCUAGGGGAGCAAACAGG
rnacentral:rRNA from 1 species